CGUGUAUGUUCAAAUGAAAAUGUAAGCAAAACCACUGAUGUGCGCCAAUCCAAUCUUUACGGUAACAAUGUGAAGGAUGAGGAUCUUUACACCAACACCAUGGAGAUAGAAGAGAUUUCUACAGAGAAGAUGAACAAAAAAGGGAAAACGCCCAAUCCAAAAGAUUGCAUGGAUAACAUGGAUGACAUCUACGUGAAUUGCUGAGAUCUUUUCAACAUCUCCUCAUUGUGAUGACCGCUCUUCCUCCCAGAUCAUCUUCAGAAACCUUCAGUGCUACAGUACAAUACCUGUUAAGAAGUUUUACAUGCACUCAGUAAUCCGAUAAACCACUUUAACUGUGCAACCACUCUGUUUUUCUUUAACCCUUGUGUGGUGUUCAUAUUUUUGUUACUCGUUUACUUUGUUACUUGUAUUUAAUUCAGCAAAAUUAAGCAAUUUUACAUUAAAAUGCUUUACACAUGCUCGCUUCACCUAAAUUGCAAGCAAUAUAAACAGCUUACAUGGUUAAUAUUUGCCCUUUACCUUUCUUAUGUUACAUUUCUUUCAAAAA